UAUGCCAACAAUAAUUCUUUUCACAAGCAAAGCCAGCAUUCGAGUGUGUGCAGAGAUGUCUCAAAAGGAUAAUAGCUCAGUGGAACUACAAUGUCUACUCGGCAAGUGGGUGAGCUCUCACAUCCCUCUCCGUCUCCUUUGAUUGGUUGCAGAUUUCUUCGAAGAACAUGAGCUUUGGAGUUGUGAGGUGACACUUUGGUAAAUCUUGAUACCAUUCUGUCUGUCAACUCUUUCUGGGCGAGUUCCGAAAGAAAUGGAUAUUUUCUUUAAUUGGAAUAGGCAUUCAUAUCUGACAAAGGUACCCGCACAAAGUUAUCUAAUACAACCUGCAUAGAGUGUCUCUGCUUUGGGUGUUUGCAGGACAAGCAAUUAUAAUAAGUGUUUCUGCCAUGGGUGUUUGCU